UACGUAGGGGGCGAGCGUUGUCCGGAUUUAUUGGGCGUAAAGAGCUCGUAGGCGGUUUCGUAAGUCGGAUGUGAAAACUCCAGGCUCAACUUGGAGACGCCAUUCGAUACUGCGAUGACUUGAGUCCGGUAGGGGAGUGUGGAAUUCCUGGUGUAGCGGUGAAAUGCGCAGAUAUCAGGAGGAACACCGGCGGCGAAGGCGGCUUCCUGGCCUGUUCUUGACGCUGAGGCGCGAAAGCUAGGGGAGCAAACGGG
rnacentral:rRNA from 1 species